rnacentral:tRNA from 1 species
GGAGACGUAUCGAAGCGGUCAUAACGGGGCUGACUCGAAAUCAGUUUGGCGUAAAAGCCACGUGGGUUCGAAUCCCACCGUCUCCGCCA